rnacentral:rRNA from 1 species
CCUACGGGAGGCAGCAGUAGGGAAUCUUUCACAAUGGGCGAAAGCCUGAUGGAGCAACGCCGCGUGCAGGAUGAAGGCCUUCGGGUUGUAAACUGCUUUUAUAAGCGAGAAAUAUGAUGGUAACUUAUGAAUAAGGAUCGGCUAACUACGUGCCAGCAGCCGCGGUCAUACGUAGGAUCCGAGCAUUAUCCGGAGUGACUGGGUGUAAAGAGUUGCGUAGGUGGCAUAAUAAGUAGCUAGUGAAAUCUGGUGGCUCAACCAUUCAGACUAUUAGCUAAACUGUUAAGCUCGAGACCGUUAGGGGUAACUGGAAUGUCUAGUGUAGGAGUGAAAUCCGUAGAUAUUAGCAGGAACACCAAUAGCGUAGGCAGGUUGCUGGGACGGUUCUGACACUAAGGCACGAAAGCGUAGGGAGCAAACGGGAUUAGAUACCCGGGUAGUC